AGACGUCUACAUUAGAUACCCGCGUAGUCCCAGCCGUAAACUAUGCGCGUUAGGUGUAUCGGUGACCACGAGUUACCGAGGUGCCGAAGGGAAACCGUGAAACGUGCCGCCUGGGAAGUACGGUCGCAAGGCUGAAACUUAAAGGAAUUGGCGGGGAGCACCACAACAGGUGGAGCCUGCGGUUUAAUUGGACUCAACGCCGGGAAGCUCACCGGAUAGGACAGCAGAAUGAUUGCCGGGCUGAAGACUCUGCAUGACUAGCUG
rnacentral:rRNA from 1 species